CAGGACAGGCGCAGCCUGAUCCAGCCAUGCCGCGUGAGUGAUGAAGGCCCUAGGGUUGUAAAGCUCUUUCACCGGAGAAGAUAAUGACGGUAUCCGGAGAAGAAGCCCCGGCUAACUUCGUGCCAGCAGCCGCGGUAAUAGAUAGGGGGCUAGC
rnacentral:rRNA from 1 species